rnacentral:rRNA from 1 species
ACGGGGGCCCGCACAAGCGGUGGAGCAUGUUGGUUUAAUUCGUACGCAACGCGAAGAACCUUACCAGGGCUUGACAUCCCCUGACCGCGUAUGAAAGUACGAAUUCACCUUCGGGUGACAGGGAGACAGGUGGUGCAUGGUUGUCGUCAGCUCGUGUCGUGAGAUGUUGGGUUAAGUCCCGCAACGAGCGCAACCCCUACGUUUAGUUGCUAACGCGUGAAGGCGAGUACUCUAGACGAACUGCCGUUGACAAACGGAGGAAGGUGGGGAUGACGUCAAAUCAUCAUGCCCCUUAUGUUCUGGGCUACACACGUGCUACAAUGGCCGGUACAGACGGACGCAAAGCCGCGAGGUGGAGCAAAUCCUAAAAAGCCGGUCUCAGUUCGGAUUGCAGGCUGCAAUUCGCCUGCAUGAAGUCGGAAUCGCUAGUAAUCGCAGGUCAGCAUACUGCGGUGAAUACGCUCCCGGGCCUU